GUCGAGAAUCUUUCACAAUGGGGGCAACCCUGAUGGAGCGACGCCGCGUGGAGGAUAAGGUCUUCGGAUUGUAAACUCCUGUCAUGCGUGAACAAGGUUGCUUGGUUAAUACCUGCGCAAAUUGAUGGUAACGCAAGAGGAAGAGACGGCUAACUCUGUGCCAGCAGCCGCGGUAAUACAGAGGUCUCAAGCGUUGUUCGGAAUCACUGGGCGUAAAGGGUGCGUAGGUGGCGUGGUAAGUCAGAUGUGAAAGCCCGGGGCUCAACCUCGGAACUGCACUCGAUACUGCCAUGCUAGAGUACUGGAGAGGUGACUAGAAUUCUCGGUGUAGGAGUGAAAUGCGUAGAUAUCGAGAGGAAUACCAAAGGCGUAGGCAGGUCACUGGACAGUUACUGACACUGAGGCACGAAGGCCAGGGGAGCGAACGGGAUUAGAUACCCCGGUAGUCC
rnacentral:rRNA from 1 species